rnacentral:rRNA from 1 species
AUUGAACGCUGGCGGCAGGCCUAACACAUGCAAGUCGAACGAGUGGCGGACGGGUGAGUAAUGUCUGGGAAACUGCCUGAGGGAGGGGGAUAACUACUGGACACGAUAUCUAAUACCGCAUACCCUCAGAUGUGCCCAGAUGGGAUGAGCUAGUAGGGGGGGUAACGGCUCACAGAGGCGACGAUCCCUAGCUGGUCUGAGAGGAUGACCAGCCACACUGGAACUGAGACACGGUCCAGACUCCUACGGGAGGCAGCAGUGGGGAAUAUUGCACAAUGGGCGCAAGCCUGAUGCAGACAUGCCGCGUGUAUGAAGAAGGCCUUCGGGUUGUAAAGUACUUUCAGCGAGGAGGCGUUACUCGCAGAAGAAGCACCGGCUAACUCCGUGCCAGCAGCCGCGGUAAUUC